rnacentral:rRNA from 1 species
UACCAGCACCCCGAGUGGUCGGGACGAUUAUUGGGCCUAAAGCAUCCGUAGCCGGUUCUGCAAGUCUUCCGUUAAAUCCACCUGCUCAACAGAUGGGCUGCGGAGGAUACUACAGGGCUAGGAGGCGGGAGAGGCAAGCGGUACUCGAGUGGGUAGGGGUAAAAUCCUCUGAUCACUGAAGACCACCAGUGGCGAAGGCGGCUGCCAGAACGCGCUCGACGGUGAGGGAUGAAAGCUGGGGGAGCAAACCGG